ACUCCUACGGGAGGCAGCAGUGGGGAAUAUUGGACAAUGGGGGCAACCCUGAUCCAGCCAUGCCGCGUGUGUGAAGAAGGCCUUUUGGUUGUAAAGCACUUUAAGCAGUGAAGAAGACUCCGUGGUUAAUACCCACGGACGAUGACAUUAGCUGCAGAAUAAGCACCGGCUAACUCUGUGCCAGCAGCCGCGGUAAUACAGAGGGUGCAAGCGUUAAUCGGAAUUACUGGGCGUAAAGCGAGCGUAGGUGGCUUGAUAAGUCAGAUGUGAAAUCCCCGGGCUUAACCUGGGAACUGCAUCUGAUACUGUUAGGCUAGAAUAGGUGAGAGGAAGGUAGAAUUCCAGGUGUAGCGGUGAAAUGCGUAGAGAUCUGGAGGAAUACCGAUGGCGAAGGCAGCCUUCUGGCAUCAUAUUGACACUGAGGUUCGAAAGCGUGGGUAGCAAACAGGAUUAGAUACCCUGGUAGUC
rnacentral:rRNA from 1 species